rnacentral:rRNA from 1 species
UACGAAGGUGGCAAGCGUUGUUCGGAUUUACUGGGCGUACAGGGAGCGUAGGCGGUUGGGUAAGCCCUUCGUGAAAUCUCCGGGCCUAACCCGGAAAGUGCGGAGGGGACUGCUCGGCUAGAGGAUGGGAGAGGAGCGCGGAAUUCCCGGUGUAGCGGUGAAAUGUGUAGAGAUCGGGAGGAACACCGGUGGCGAAGGCGGGUCUCUGGGCAAUUCCUGACGCUGAGGCGCGAAAGCGUGGGGAUCAAACAGG